rnacentral:rRNA from 1 species
UACGUAGGCAGCAAGCGUUGUUCGGAGUUACUGGGCGUAAAGGGUGCGUAGGCGGCCGUGUAAGUGUGGUGUGAAAUCUCCCGGCUUAACUGGGAGGGUGCGCUACAGACUGCAUGGCUAGAGUGUGGGAGAGGAAAGUGGAAUUCCUGGUGUAGCGGUGAAAUGCGUAGAUAUCAGGAGGAACACCGGUGGUGUAAACGGCUUUCUGGACCAUAACUGACGCUGAUGCACGGAAGCGUGGGUAGCAAACAGG